CUUUAAGUGAUUGUUUACAUACUGUGGACUGUCUCAAAUGUGCUGAGACAAGUCAGGUAGCUGAAGCAAACUAGCUUCAUUCUGCGAUAAGGUCUUCUCAGCUUUUCAUUAAGAACCAGGUCACCUCAUCCUUCAAGUGUGUCUUCAACUGGAGUGGAGAUUCACCACACACUAGACUCUUGAACAUGUCUCUUUAUGGCCUAACUGCAAUGAAGAUCUUAACACAUGAUGUCCAGAAUGAAGCUUCCAUGGCAUCAGUUUGGACCAGCACUGCUAUUUGGCUCCUGCUGAGGAAAAAGGACCAGUCUUGUUGGCGACUAUUUAAUCCUGAUUUAUUUUCUGCCCUGAGUAUCUUUCAGGUAUUGUAGUCUUGCAAAGACAGACAGAAACGCAACAUCUCCCCAUUUAGUAUCUGACUGUCUUCCAAUAGUCUGCUGGGGGAUCAGGUUCACAUCUCCAGGCAGCUGGGGCUAACAUGGCACCUGGUAGCGCAAACCAGCAAGGAAAACUGAACACAGUGUCCUCCCAAACAAUAAUUGCUGUUCAAGACGACAGCAGAAUCUCUCUGAUUAUUAGAAUAUGUAACUGGAGCAAGAGAUAUGUCCUUCCUUUUCUGGUCUAACACUUAUUCUGCUUGCCAAGAAAGACAUUUAGCUUGAGGUUAUUGAUAGCAUGAAGGAAAUUUUCAUUUCCCUUUGAGUAAAGAUAUUCUG
rnacentral:lncRNA from 1 species